rnacentral:rRNA from 1 species
GAUGAACGCUGACAGAAUGCUUAACACAUGCAAGUCUUUGGCGAAGCUGUGCUUGCACAGCCUAGCCAAGGCGGACGGGUGAGUAACGCGUAAGGAACUUGCCCUGCAGUCAGGGAUAACAGACGGAAACGACUGAUAAGACCUGGUAAAGUCAGGCGGACUCAUGUCCAGCCUGAUGAAAAGAGAUGCUGCAGGAGAGCCUUGCGUCCUAUUAGCUUGUUGGUGGGGUAACGGCCCACCAAGGCGAUGAUAGGUAGCCGGCCUGAGAGGGUGGACGGCCACAAGGGGACUGAGAUACGGUCCUUACUCCUACGGGAGGCAGCAGUGGGGAAUAUUGGACAAUGGGGGCAACCCUGAUCCAGCAAUUCUGUGUGCACGAUGAAGGUUUUCGGAUUGUAAAGUGCUUUCAGCAGGGAAGAAAAAAAUGACGGUACCUGCAGAAGAAGCGACGGCUAAAUACGUG